rnacentral:pre_miRNA from 1 species
UCUUAAGGAUGAGCAAAGAAAGUGGUUUUUGAGAUGGAAUCUUCUCUCCUGGUGAAGAUGCUGUGAA